GACGAACGCUGGCGGCGUGCUUAACACAUGCAAGUCGAACGGUAAGGCCCUUCGGGGUACACGAGUGGCGAACGGGUGAGUAACACGUGGGUGAUCUGCCCUGCACUUCGGGAUAAGCCUGGGAAACUAGGUCUAAUACCGGAUAGGACUCCUGGCUUCAUGGUUGGGGGUGGCAAGCUUUUGUGGUGUGGGAUGGGCCCGCGGCCUAUCAGCUUGUUGGUGGGGUAAUGGCCUACCAAGGCGACGACGGGUAGCCGGCCUGAGAGGGUGACCGGUCACACUGGGACUGAGAUACGGCCCAGACUCCUACGGGAGGCAGCAGUGGGGAAUAUUGCACAAUGGGCGCAAGCCUGAUGCAGCGACGCCGCGUGAGGGAUGACGGCCUUCGGGUUGUAAACCUCUUUCAGCUAUGACGAAGCGCAAGUGAUGGUAGUAGCAGAAGAAGGACCGGCCAACUACGUGCCAGCCGCCGCGGUAA
rnacentral:rRNA from 1 species